GGAGGGGGCUAGCGUUGUUCGGAAUUACUGGGCGUAAAGGGCGCGUAGGCGGCCAACUAAGUUAGGUGUGAAAGCCCCCAGGGCUCAACCUGGGGAACUGCGCUUAAUACUGGUUGGCUAGAGAUCGGUAGAGGGAAAUGGAAUUCCUAGUGUAGAGGUGAAAUUCGUAGAUAUUAGGUAGAACACCAGAGGCGAAGGCGAUUUCCUGGGCCGAUACUGACGCUGAGGCGCGAAAGCGUGGGGAGCAAACAGGAUUAGAUACCCUGGUAGUCCACGCUGUAAACGAUGAAUGCUAGACGUUGGCAGUUUAUCUGUCGGUGUCGCAGCUAACGCAAUAAGCAUUCCGCCUGGGGACUACGAUCGCAAGAUUA
rnacentral:rRNA from 1 species